rnacentral:rRNA from 1 species
ACAUGCAGUCGAACGGUGACGACGGAGCUUGCUCUGUCUGAUCAGUGGCGAACGGGUGAGUAACACGUGAGUAACCUGCCCCCGACUCUGGAAUAACCGUGGGAAACGACGGCUAAUACCGGAUAUGAGACGCACGGGCAUCUGUGUGUCUGGAAAGAUUUAUCGGUCAGGGAUGGACUCGCGGCCUAUCAGCUUGUUGGUGGGGUAAUGGCCCACCAAGGCGACGACGGGUAGCCGGCCUGAGAGGGCGACCGGCCACACUGGGACUGAGAUACGGCCCAGACUCCUACGGGAGGCAGCAGUGGGGAAUAUUGCACAAUGGGCGCAAGCCUGAUGCAGCGACGCCGCGUGAGGGAUGAAGGCCUUCGGGUUGUAAACCUCUUUCAGCAGGGAAGAAGCGAAAGUGACGGUACCUGCAGAAGAAGCGCCGGCUAACUACGUGCCAGCAGCCGCGGUAAUACGUAGGGCGCAAGCGUUGUCCGGAAUUAUUGGGCGUAAAGAGCUCGUAGGCGGUUUGUCGCGUCUGCUGUGAAAACCUGAGGCUCAACCUCGGGCUUGCAGUGGGUACGGGCAGACUAGAGUGCGGUAGGGGUGACUGGAAUUCCUGGUGUAGCGGUGGAAUGCGCAGAUAUCAGGAGGAACACCGAUGGCGAAGGCAGGUCACUGGGCCGCAACUGACGCUGAGGAGCGAAAGCAUGGGGAGCGAACAGGAUUAGAUACCCUGGUAGUCCAUGCCGUAAACGUUGGGCACUAGGUGUGGGGCUCAUUCCACGAGUUCCGUGCCGCAGCAAACGCAUUAAGUGCCCCGCCUGGGGAGUACGGCCGCAAG